rnacentral:rRNA from 1 species
AUUGAACGCUGGCGGAAUGCUUUACACAUGCAAGUCGAGCGGCAGCGCGGGGCAACCUGGCGGCGAGCGGCGAACGGGUGAGUAAUGCAUCGGAACAUGUCCAUGUCGUGGGGGAUAGCCCGGCGAAAGCCGGAUUAAUACCGCAUAAGCCCGAGAGGGGAAAGCCGGGGACCGCAAGGCCUGGCGCGAUUGGGUUGGCCGAUGUCCGAUUAGCUAGUUGGCGGGGUAAUGGCCCACCAAGGCGAUGAUCGGUAGCUGGUCUGAGAGGAUGAUCAGCCACACUGGGACUGAGACACGGCCCAGACUCCUACGGGAGGCAGCAGUGGGAAUUUGGACAAU